GAUAUCAAUAAUGUGAUUUCGACCUACUGGAGGAAGUGCCUGAGCGAGCUAUUUUCCAGGAGCUACAACCAGCUCUCAGCUCUGACGUGGAAAGAGCUUCAGGAAAGGGAAAUUUUCUAGGCAGGCUCGGUGCGAUAAAAAAUUCAUGGAACCAGAGCCAAGACAAACCGAAUUGCGAAUUGGAUUACACGGCAAGCCAACGUGUCACGAGAGACACUACUGCCGGCACUCCACUGCACGCUUUCACAACCCAUCAACACCAUCGGUUUUCAAUCAAACUUUGCAUAUCCCAUCAAUCAACACCGAAUCACACAUCAAAGCCGCUGCUGCUGCGUUCUUAAAAAAAGUGACGUUGCCAAAGAGCAAAGGAGCCUCUCCAUAUCCACCUUAUGCUCCCUCCACACUGCUAACCCCCUCCCCCUUUUGGAAAUAACCCAUACGAAGGCGAGUGGGGCCCACACUCCGAAUGGACCCAGUGUCCCAUAGAGAAUGGCUCCAUGGAAGCGCAACAAAUUAGGCUAAACACCGACAAGCCCCCCUUUCUCCCCCAUUCUCUGCCUCCCCCUAAAUUCCCCUUUCCAGCCCACCCCACCCCACCCCAAACAUACAACAUCCCAUUGUGAUGCGACUUUGUGUGGAUGCUGAUUUUGAUGCCGACGCAGCGAGAUUUCCAGUGGCAGACCAAGUAGCAGCAGCAGCAACAGCAACAGAAACAGCAACAGAAUCAGAAACAGGAACACGAAUGUGAGUCAACGCACACGUAUUACCCGGGCUGCACUGCGAGAAAG